rnacentral:rRNA from 1 species
CCUACGGGUGGCAGCAGUGAGGAAUAUUGGUCAAUGGACGGAAGUCUGAACCAGCCAUGCCGCGUGCAGGAAUACGGCUCUAUGAGUUGUAAACUGCUGUUGUACAAGGGUAAACCUGAAUACGUGUAUUCAGCUGAAAGUACUGUACGAAUAAGGAUCGGCUAACUCCGUGCCAGCAGCCGUGGUAAUACGGAGGAUCCAAGCGUUAUCCGGAUUUAUUGGGUUUAAGGGGUGCGUAGGCUGAUUGAUAAGUUAGAGGUGAAAUGUCCGAGCUUAACUCGUGAACUGCCUCUAAUACUGUUGGUCUAGAGAAUAGGUGCGGUAGGCGGAAUGUAUGGUGUAGCAGUGAAAUGCGUAGAGAUCAUACAGAACACUGAUUGCGAAGGCAGCUUACCAAUCUAUAUCUGACGUUGAGGCACGAAGGCGUGGGGAGCGAACGGGAUUAGAUACCCUUGUAGUC